GAAUGAACUUGGUGUGGUUGUUGCUGGUCCUUUCGGGGGCAUGUGCACACCCACCAUCCUCAUCUCUCCACCUGUGCACCUCUUGUAGACUUGGAUUGACUUUCCGAGGCAACUCGGUCGGGAGGACUUGCUGGCGCUAGCUGGCUUUCCUUGCAUUUUCAAUUCUACGUUUUUUAUAUACCCCAUUGAAUGUAACAGAAUGUAACAUUGGGCCCUUGUGCCUAUAAAAACUUAUACAACUUUCAGCAACGGAUCUCUUGGCUCU
rnacentral:misc_RNA from 1 species